rnacentral:rRNA from 1 species
GACGAACGCUGGCGGCGUGCCUAAUACAUGCAAGUAGAACGCUGAAGAGAGGAGCUUGCUCUUCUUGGAUGAGUUGCGAACGGGUGAGUAACGCGUAGGUAACCUGCCUGGUAGCGGGGGAUAACUAUUGGAAACGAUAGCUAAUACCGCAUAAAAUUGAUUAUUGCAUGAUAAUUAAUUGAAAGAUGCAACUGCAUCACUACCAGAUGGACCUGCGUUGUAUUAGCUAGUUGGUGAGGUAACGGCUCACCAAGGCGACGAUACAUGGCCGACCUGAGAGGGGGAUCGGCCACACUGGGACUGAGACACGGCCCAGACUCCUACGGGAGGAAGCAGUAGGGAAUCUUCGGCAAUGGGGGGAACCCGGACCGAGCAACGCCGCGUGAGUGAAGAAGGUUUUCGGAUCGUAAAGCUCUGUUGUAAGAGAAGAACGGGUGUGAGAGUGGAAAGUUCACACUGUGACGGUAUCUUACCAGAAAGGGACGGCUAACUACGUG